AAUGGCACCCGUUUGCCAGCCCUGUUCUAAGUUAAUAAGAUCUACUGUAUGUGUGUGAGUGCAGGUACCACUUGGAAUGUCCUCAGCUGAAAUGCUCUCAUGUUUUCAAUUUCCAUUUCAGAUGCAUCUUUUUGGGAAAACCGUUUUCUGCCCAAAGGAAAUCAGCUUUCCUGUUUUCUGUUGUUAUCAAUAUUGCUGUUUGGGUUCCCUUGAGUCGUGGAUUAAGUGGCAGCUGAGAAAUCUUGUUGGGACCACCUCUUCCCAUUGCCUUUCAAAGUGAAGUCUUGACAAGAAAUGAGUUCUUCCCAAAGCUAAGUACAUUGGAGGUUGGGUCUGGUGGUAGCUUCCUAAUGAAUUUGUGGUGCACAGAUCUGUCCUUGAGCUAUUUUCUGUAAUGUUCUCACUGCAGUGUCCCAUGACUGAUCUUAUUUCAGAGAAUUGUAUGAGUUUUGCAGCAAAUUACAAGGAAGGCCUGGUUCCUAAAAUCAGCUGAAGGCCAAUUAAGGUUUCUUGGGGCGCUUUCCUUCAGCUGCAAUGUCAUCAUAAAUGACUCUCCAGUGCAGUGGAGGGCUGACAUUUUGUAAGCUAAUACUAUAUUUUGGGAGUGAUUAAAAUCUCCAUCUCAGUCACCUGCCUGACCAACUGCCAGUGGCCACAAAACAAAAGGAUUACAGUCAAUUCAUAUCCAUUAGGAAAAUGAUGUGAAACACUAUUGGUUUAGGCUUAGUGGGGCUUAAUCUGAUUUCAGGAAGAAAGGAGAGGUGUGCAAUUAAAGGAGAGAGGAAAGGCAGAAAAGAAAAUCAAAUGAGAAUUUCCCCCCAAAACCCAAGACCUUUUUGGUUUGUUCAUUUCCAUAAGGAUUUAUUAAGUACCUGUUGAGUUCUUCCCACUAUGGUAGACCCUGAAAGGGAGGAAGGAGAAAACACUAGCAAUGCCUGUCCUCAGAAUUUGCAGUGUAGUAGGGGGGAAACACUACACACUGAGGAGGUGGCCAGAGAAUUAGCAGAUUCAUGUUAGUAGGAAUUUAAAAAUAUUCUUUAGGUGCCUGGCACAGUUGGAAAAGGAAAAGAAGAUAAGUGAGAAGGGAUAGUUGACAUCUACGUGCUCUUACUGUGUGCUUCACAUUAAGUUUUACACAUAUUAACUCACCUUUACAACAACCCUACAUACCAUUAUUAUUCCCGCUUUACGGAUGAGGAAACUGAGGCCCACAGAAGUGAAGAAACUUGCCCGAGAUCACACAGUCCGCAAGAGGAAGAGCUGGGGUUUGCAUACAGCUAGUCUGGUCCUAGAAUCUGAGGUUUUACCAUUAUUCUAUGUGGCCUCCCAAGGUGAUGGGGUAUUCCUGACCCAUGAGGAUUUUCAUUCUCCAUAGGGAGAUGAGGUCUAGGUGUGGGGAUAAUUAAGCUACAGGUAGAGGGUGUAACAGUGGAGGCAGGGAAUAGAGUGAUUGAUGACUUCAGAAAGGUGGGUGUGCUAACUGAACUCUGGACAUGGAUGUGUAUAUGUUGGGGGAAGCUCUGCACAGAGGGAUAGAGAAGGUUCUAACCCAGGAAAAGAGCACGAGCAGAGGAGACUGAAAGAAUGGCUACAAUUUGCAGUUACUUGUUUGUAGUUGUCUAAGAAGAGAAAUCAUUAAAUCAAAGGGUGCCUUCUUACAAGGACAAGGGUUUAUAGCACUGGGGACAAGAGCGAGGAUGUGGAAUCUGACAGACUAAGUUUAAAGUUCGAUUGUGUCACAUGCUCCUCAAGUGACCUUGAGAGAGUUACCUAGCCUUUAUCGGCAAAUGCAAGAUAGGAAGAAUGGCUAUAGAAGAAUUGGGAAAGUCUCUCAUCUUGUAACAGAGCUCAUUUAUUUACUUCUUCAAAAAUAUUCAUUAGGAACCAAUUACCUGCCAUGUGCUGUGCUAGAUGUUGGGACAAUGAACAAGGCAAACAUGAGUGUUGCUCUCUUAGAGCUUGUAUUCUAACUGGGGAGGCAACACAAUAAACAAGCAGUAAUCUACAGCAAGUAAUCUUAGGAUAUGACAGGGAUUUUGAAGAAAACAUAGGGUUGGGGCCAAGUAGAAUUAAUGGCUUUUACUGUGCCAAGGACAGUGUUUGUCAGGUAGGAGGCAAUCAAAACACAGGAGCUUUCAUUUUACAUUUAUUAAUAGCUCCAUCUUGAAAUUCAACAUGUAAGAGGAAGCCAAGGUAUCAGAUACUCUUUGCUGCCUACCAGGAGGGCAUUUCUCCUUUCACCUUGCUUACAGACCCCUCUUUAAUCCAAGAUUCAUCUUACCCCCACAGGCAAGGUGUUGGGGUUACAGGAAGCUCAGGAUGGAUGUCUACAUCUCCAAGGAACUAUCACUUUCUACCAAAAUGUGAGAAGAAACUCUGGAAUGCAAGUCAUGAAUGGGAACUGUUGUGUAUUCACUGCUUUCCCCCCAGUGCCCAGGACAGUUCCCAGCACAGAAUAGGGGCUCAACAAAUGUCUGUGGAAUUAUUAAACAGGUCAAUUGAAAUAAACAUGGAUAUAUUUUAGAAUCGCACAAGCAUGGCAUAAAAUUUUAAAAAUCCAAACAGAUGGCACUGUUCCUGCUGCAUUUGAAACAUGGGCUUCCUCAGACUCUGCUCUGAAAUUGCAAUGGAGGAGAAACCAGUGGUUUCAAGGAACACAAAUGCAGGGGAAGCUGGGCCAGCCUCAGCUCUACAAGGGUGGUCACCAGCUCCGGGACUGACAAGGGCCACAGUACAAGAUGGAGACAAAGUGCCGAGUUUCCAGAGGCUGUUGGUGGUGGUGAGGCCUGUACCAUGAGCGGUGUCUUCUGGAAGGUGAGAUUACCAGAGCCCAGGCACUCUGGGGACUCUUGGAGGGUCACACAGUGAAGAAGUCUGAUAAUCACCAGCCCUCUGGAGGGAAGUGGCUGAUCCACAGAAGCCUGUUCCUCUACUUUGGUCAUUGUUACGGGUCUCACUAUAAAAGCACUCAAGUAAGGAUCAGUCAGGAGGCUCAUGGUCGUUAUGAUUCCACUGUCUGCUGAGACACAAACCAAACCACUCAGAUACAAACAGCCAAAAGGUCAUGACUCUGCUCACUUCUCUGGCCUGAGUCCUGGGCCAGUGGUGACCCUCAAAGCGUUGCCCAUGCCAAAGUCUCUUACCACACUGAGUCUACCCAGAGGACCAGGGCUGUAAAUGGACUGUGGGUGAUGCUGGAUGAUUCUUUAGAGGCCAUUGGUGCUACCUCCUCGUUGUACAGAUGGGGAAACUGAAGCCAUGUAAGGGGAGAAGGGAAUUGGACAAAUCACAUGACCCACUGAUGUUAAAUUUGGACUUGAUUCUCCAUCGUAUUCUCCUUCCAACACUAAAUGUAGUUAGAAGCCUGCUUCUGCUCAGAAGAUGGAAAAUGGCCUCUGACAAUAAAAGCUGAUUUUUAACAACCAACCCAAGAAAAAUAGAAUGCUUCAGCAAGUCUUUGGCCUGGAUCCAGAGAGAUCUUAGACUGUGAAGGGAUGGAUGGAUUAACUCUUACCAUCCUCCCAUCCUGAGCUCUUUGAGCUUUUGUUUUGUUUUGUUUUGUUUGCUUGUUUUUUGUUUUUGUCACCUAUGGGGUUUGCAAAUCCACAAAUUUGGUUGUCUCCUGUCAUGUGGUUGUCACAGGAGCAUGGGCCAGCAAGAGGUUCACAUGAUGGUUUAAUCAAUACUGCAAAUAACGAUAAUAAUAGGAUAGUUAGCACAUGUGCUUACUGUACCAGAUGCCCUUCUAAGUCCUUUGCAUGUAUCAACUCAUUUAAACCUCACAACUCUUAUCAAAUCAGUUUACAAAUGAGAAAAUUGAGGCAUAGGAAGGCUAAGUAACUAGCCCAGGAUCACCUAGUUUGUAAGUGGUACAAGUGAGAUUUGAGGAUAGUAAGUCUGACUCUGGAACCAUGAUGCCUUACUGUCCUGGUUGCAGUGAGUGGCACUUUAAAACAGGGCUGUACUGUAAUUUUUUAAAAAAUCAUUGAUUACAAAUUCUGUCUCCCUGUCCUCAGGGGCUAGCAGUGGAAUGGACCCUGAAAGGUAGUGCCUUCCCUCCCCCACCUUCUCCCACAGUGCUGUGGGCAUUAAACCCUAUCUCCCCUGCCGCCCCCUCCUCUCUCCCCGCCAGGUAGUUGCCUGCUUUGGCACCUUCAGAGGCUCUUCUGCAGAGGCACCAGAGGUCACUGAUGGAUUGAGCUUUUACAUUCCCUUGGGGCAAAAUGUACAGCUUCUUGGUCCUUCAGUGGAAAAUAGCCAUUUGAACUCUCUCAACUCUAUGAAUCUCAUGAACUGGGUCUCCAGAAGCCACUUGCAUGACAGGAAACAAAUAAAAGGGGAGCCCACUCCUCUUCCCCAGAGGAGGGGUUAGAAGGCUGGAAUAAUUCAUCACAGUCCCCACCCCUCCCGCACACACACACACACACACACACCAGUGCUCCACUCUGCCAAUGGAACAUUCGUGUUGCCUCUGAAUUAUGUGCUUUUGAUUAAUUUCUAAGGAAAAAAGAUCAGCUUUG